AUUCCAUCCCUAAAAUACCAACCUCCACCUUGUACAUGAUACUUUGGCACUUGUCUAACAUGUAUUCUUUAUAUGAUGUAGGAGGCAUGUCAAAAGAAUAAAGACAAUCGAGGCAACAUCAAGUUCCAUCAAACAACUAGCUCUCGUAGCUACCCGGUUUUUGUAGAAAACUUGGACAUGAGUUUGAGGAUAAUGUGCCUGAUGCAUUUGAUUUGUUCGAAGUCUGCCACUACAAUAAGAAAAAAAAGGAUUCACACCUGCUACUGAAAUGGAAAACCAGCUGGCAGCAGAACCACCAGAAGGUGAAGAACCCAAGUCAAAGGCUGAGGUUGUAGCUGAUGUGCUUGAGCGCAACAGCAAGAACAAUCAGUUCCUUCAGAAAGUGGGGCUAUAGGCUGAACGACGACCAAGGAGAUGUGAUGCUGCAGCACAACUAGAAGCAGAGAAGAUGGCAAAUGCUGGUCUUCGAUCAAUUAUCAGCAACCAAUCAAAGCAGCUGGAGGAAGUUGAACGGGCAAGGAUAAGGGACAAAGAAGAGAUGAACAAGAAGUAUGCAAACUUGGAGGCCAAACUUGAGCUUUUGCUGGGUACAAAUUGACAAAGCUUACUGACUUGCUAUGCUACUUUUUGUUAGAACCAAACUUGUGUAGUUGCAGCCCAUCUUUUGCUGUGUUGAAGAGUGUCUUGUGUGCACUGCUAGUCUAACCAUUGGGAAUUUUUGUAGUUAACAGAAUUUUUAUACCGUGCUCUAUAGCAUUAUGAUCCUGAUUUAAACUAAUUCUGGUGAUGGUAAUUUGGAU